CUUCACCGUCGCCCAUCCUAGUUCCGAUCAGAAUCCGAUCACUGAGUCAGCCGGCAGAGGUGUGUUUGCGACUCGGGCGAACGGAGCCGGUGAACUCAUCCACGCGGCCACACCCAUCGUCUCUUUCCCUAUCUACAACAACGGGUGUUUGCUAUUUGUGCCUCAAAAGUCUCAAAAACACAACCACAUCUACAGCCAAGAAUGUGAGGAACAAUAUAAGGUCAGCUGAUACUUCUUGUAGGGUCAUGUAUAGUUUUCAGCUCCAAUACCCCAAAGGAAGAUAGAGAAGCUGGCUGCAGCGUAUGGAUCUCCCUUGCGGGAUAACAAUGGCAAGUACUUGGGCAUUUUCACUGAAAGUGGGGUACUUCAAAGCAGACUUCUAAGAACUGGACUGUGGAAAGAGUCCUUAGUAAACUCCAAGUGUGGAAUGAAGUUUUACCGUCGGAUGCAGGGAAGGAGGUACUGAUUAAAUCAGUUAUUCAGGCCAUUCCGACAUAUGUCAUGUCUGUGUUUAAGCUCCCUAUAUCUCUUCGUAAUGCCAUCCGUACCAAGAUAGCUCAAUUAUGAAGGAGAGGUAAUAAUGGGAAGCCAAAAAUUCAUCGGGUGGCUUGGAGAGAGAUAUCCAGAAAGAAGGGUGAAGGAGGUUUGGGCUUCAAAGAUUUCGAAUGCAUGAAUGUUGCUUUGUUGGCUAAACAAGCCUGGAGGCUAGUGAAUGAGGAAAACAGCUUGUGGGCUAGAGUUCUAAAAUCUUUCACCCGCUCUUGACCUCUGGUCAGGCAUCUGGUCCAUUCAAGUUCACCUUAAAUAUAGAACUAUUUUGUGGAAAGCUUGCAAAAAUGUAAUGGGCUUCUUCUCGGCCGGUCCUAUGUGGAUGGAUUAUGCUCCAUCAAGUCCUUGUGCACAAAUGCGCACAAUUACUUUCCCAAUAGGUCCUAUUCCCACGCGUGCUCUUUCCUCUUUGCUUCCCCAUGUGCGCAUCUCUUCCUAGGGGCGGGCGCAUUAAUGUUCUGUCCCCCUGCUGUCCUUUUUGACUCUCUCUCUCUCUCUCUCUCCUCACUUUUGCUGUUUUACAUGGUUUCUCUCUCUUCUCUCUUACACAUGUACAUGAUGAACUUCAAUUUGGCCGGAAUGCUUUUUUUUUUAUUUUAGAAAAUGUAUAGUUGACUCUCUCUCUCUCUCUCUCCUCCCUCUUUUAUUUUAGUAAAAUUUAAAAUGUUUAUAACUUUUAUCCUAUAAAUUCUGCAAAAGUAAAAUUUAAUUUUUUGAUGCGAAUUUUAUAUUGUUAAUUAACACUUUUAAUUUUGUCUAAAUUUUAUACAAUAUGAAUAUUUGCAUAGAGAGGUAUAAGCAUUAGUAUAAGAUUUUUAAAUAAAAAAGGGCAUUUUACCUCUAGAUCCAGAAAAUAGAAAGUAAUUUCCACCAAGUCUCCUCUAAUUAAUGAAACACUAAAACUCUAUGAAAGUGUCUAAAACCCUAAAUACUGUAAGUGCCUAACCCUUAGGGCACCCUAUGAGAGUGCCUAAAUCUCAGGGUACCCUAUAAAAAUGUCUAAACCCCUAGGGUACCCUAUGAAAGUGCCUAAAUCGCUAAAACCCUAUAAUAGAAAAGUGCACUCUAAAACCCCUAUGAAAGUGCCUAAACCUAAACUCGAGGGCUCUAUGAAAGCGCCUAAACCUAAACCCUAGGGUACCCUAAACCUUAGAGUAUCCUAAAAUCUUAAGGUACCCUAAAACCUUAAAAUCCUAGGGUACCCUAAGAUUUUAAGGUACCCAAAGGUACUAGGGUACCAUGAAAC